GGCCUAUCCUCCUAGCCAGUUGUAUCCAGUCCAGGUUGUUUAAGUGCGAGUUAGGGAACCACACAAAAAGUAUCAAAGAACAAAGUAACUAAAAGCCCUUACAAGUUUUCCAAAAGGCCUGGAAAUUGUGUGUAAUUAAAUUCCAACGCUAUAAUAGGGUGCAGAAAUGUGGCCCCAAAGAACGGUAAUAUGACCACAAUCUUCAUGUUCUCAUCUAGUUUAACAUUUUAGUUUCUGGAUCAUUAAGUACAGAAAUUACAUAGGCAAGCAAAUCAGCAAGGCAGAACAAAAAUUCAAGAUUUUUGUUUUAAUCACAGAAAAAGCAUAACUGCUGAAGUGUGAAUAUCUUAAAACAAA
rnacentral:misc_RNA from 1 species